CCUACGGGGGGCUGCAGUGGGGAAUAUUGGACAAUGGGCGAAAGCCUGAUCCAGCCAUGCCGCGUGUGUGAAGAAGGCCUUCGGGUUGUAAAGCACUUUCAGUGGGGAAGAAAGCCUUGGGGCUAAUACCCUCGAGGAAGGACAUCACCCACAGAAGAAGCACCGGCUAACUCCGUGCCAGCAGCCGCGGUAAUACGGAGGGUGCGAGCGUUAAUCGGAAUUACUGGGCGUAAAGCGCGCGUAGGCGGUCUGAUAAGCCGGUUGUGAAAGCCCCGGGCUCAACCUGGGAACGGCAUCCGGAACUGUCAGGCUAGAGUGCAGGAGAGGAAGGUAGAAUUCCCGGUGUAGCGGUGAAAUGCGUAGAGAUCGGGAGGAAUACCAGUGGCGAGGGCGGCCUUCUGGACUGACACUGACGCUGAGGUGCGAAAGCGUGGGUAGCAAACAGGAUUAGAUACCCCGGUAGUC
rnacentral:rRNA from 1 species